UUGGCAUGUUCGCGAGAAAAAAAUUCAAUAAUGUUCUUCUGUAUAUGAAAAAGAUCUUUGUACAUUCUUAGAAGAAUAUCUACAUUAUUUUGUAACAGCUUAUUCAUAAAAUAAUAAUUUCACAUUUCCUAUACACAUAGACAUAUAUUAUAUAAAUAUACAAAAUUUUUAAAUUAAACGAACUAUAUUAACAUCACAGAUGUAUUGAACAAGAAUGAACAAAUAUCUAUGAUAUAGUAAAUUUUUAUAACAUUAUCGAAUAAUCAUUUUAAAUAUAAUUGAAUGAAUCUAAUUCUGGAAUUGUACAUGAAUAUUGUAAAAUUUUAGCAAUACAAAAGUUUAUUAUAUAU
rnacentral:lncRNA from 1 species